ACCUUCUUUAAGGUCUGUACUAAAAUUUUAGAAACUAGUAUCAUGUCGUGGUAGUUGAAAAUAAAGAUAGGAAAGUAAGCACAAGAAGAAAAAAUAGCUGAACAGCUGUACCAGGUAGAAGAAAAACUGAGAUAGACCUCUUCUAAGACACCAGCUCUUUGUUCUAAGAUUUGGUAGAAUAAUA
ensembl:snoRNA